GAGGGAGGGUCCCGACCCCCUCCCGCGGCGGCUGGGAGGAAGAGGCAGAGCCGCGUCGCUGACUGUGCGGGCUCCGGACCGCCUGCUUCGUACAAAUCCCGACUCCACGCCCUGGGCCGGCUGCACCAUCCUGGACUGUGUUUUAACUUCCCCGAGACUGUUUCCUCUUCUGUACUGUCCAUACUGUAUUACAGUACCUGCCUCUUCGUGUUGCCGUGUGGAUCUGACGGGAUAAUCAGUGACAGGCGCUAGACACAGCAACCCUCAAUAAGUGUAGUAUUUUUAAUUUUGCUUACUUGUGCGAGGAGCUAAAGAGAACCACAGAUGGGCCCACCAUCAUCAAAUUGCCUCCAGGAUCUAAGUCUCUACUCCAAAUACAUAGGGCAGCAUGCACCUACACUGGAGUUAAUGGAAUGAACCUGCUGGUGAUUGAGCACCAAAGCCAGCCACCCUGUACUUGGGCACCCUGUACUUGGGAGAGGGGGGUUAUUUCUGGGGUCCUCUCCCCUCCCCCAACAAUGUCCCAUGGUCAGGUCUUCAUGUGGCAUGUUCACAUUUUUGAAUCACUUUGAUCUGCACCUUUGAUCCUCUGAUGAGGGUAGAUAGGAACUGAAAUCUGUACCCAAAUUUACAGAUGAAGUUGUUUCAUCACAAUCAGAACUCUGGCCGGAGCUGUACUCUCCAAAGCAGGGCCUUGCCUCUCUCCCAGGAAGCCCUCAGCUGGCCAUCUUGUUUCCUAAACGGGGCCAAGCGAGGCUGGUCAGGGUCUCCUUCCAGAAGGCAAAGCCCAGAAGUUCCCUGUUACCUCCCAGCCUCUCUGCCUAGCUCUUCCUUGUCUUAACCAACCUUGGACACCAGUGCAAAUGCCCUGGCCUUUGAAAAGAGAAGGAAGAGGGGUCUGUUUUCCAGGCCAUGGAAUGAAUCUUCCUUGGAGUGUCUAAAACUGAGUUGGGAAUUCUGACUCCAAACUUUAUUUGGCCACCAGUGUUCUGAGAAGCCCCUGUGACUCUGGGCCCCAAUUUGCCCAUCUGAAACAUGGGGGGAGUAGUGACUUGCUUGUCCAUGAUGAUGUGAAGAGCUCUUAACUCUGAAAUCUUUUGUGAUCAAUGAUAAAAAAUGCAUAUGGAUGGAAAGGUCCCUGGUGCAGGGCCUGUUGGCUCACAUGGCCAUGAAGGGCACUUCCCAAAGAGCACGCUCGUGAUCUCAGCCACUGAAGAACACAGCCAAUCAGACUCCACGUGGCUGGCGGCCGAUGGUUGGCUCAGUCAGGCGAGGGCAGGUAGGAGCGGGGGUCUCCAGGGAACGGAAGAGGGGGCACCUGGUUGUAGUGGGCCAUGAGGAAGAUGCCAGCAGUGCCACAGACAAAAAGGGAGAGCAUGGCCAGGAAGCAGACACGGUCCAGCACGCGGCCCACCAAGAACCACUCCUCGCUCCCCUGAGGGCGGGAGGCAGGUGUGGGAUGACCGGCAGGAACACCAAGCCUGCCCUGGAUCACUGUGCCGUCCUUGGCCCGCCAGCAGGCCUCUUAUUCUCCAUUUCUUUGGGUCCCUCUCACCUACUUCCAGGCCUUAACCUGUGUUCAUCAGGGUCAUCCCCUGGCACUGAUGUCCCCAUCCCACUUUUUCCUUCCCACUGCCCUGCCAUGGCCACUCCACUCAUCUUGCCCCCAUCUUAAGUCCAAGUCCCUCACCGGGUACUCAGUUCCCCUUACACUGUCAAAGUGACUUUGCUGGUGGUGGGCAAGGGCAAUGAGGUUGCAGGCUUCCACACAGGCCUGGAUGGCCGGGGCGGCCUGCUUCAGGCUGCCACACAACUCUCGGCUCUGCCCUGGCUCCGGGCCUUUCUCUGUUGAGAGAGGGUAAGGUUUGGGAAUCGAGUGGAGAAGAAAUAGUCUGAGAAGGUAGCCUCUCCUGAGCGACCCUAGUGUCUCUCUCCCCAGCUGGACACUUACCAACACUCAUCUGCUGUGUCCGGUGCCUUGGCCAACAGAUAGCCCUCCCCGUCAGAUAGCAGGCCAGAGUGAGCACUGGAGUGUCCCCAGUGUCAUACCUCCUGCCUCACCUAGCUUCUCCAGCGCCGCCCUCACCAGCCCGUUGCGCUGCCGCUGCCGGAAGAGAAGUUCACUGCGAGGCAGGCAGAGAGCAACCUCUUCCCCAGCUGUGAUUGACCAUCCUGGAGAGGAGCCAUUCUGCAGCCGGCGCCCCGUGUCUUGCACAGCCACUGGGACCAGUGGGCGAACGUGCAUCCGCAACAGCUGGGGCAAGAGCCGCAGGAACACCUGGAGAGAGGAUGUUCUGGGGCGCUUAGCUUAGUAGCCGGCAGACCUGGACGUGUGGGCAGCCAGGCUGGGCUUCAGAGCAAAGAGUGAAGGUUGGCAUGGAGGGCUCAAGCUACCAGGGGCCCAGAGGCAGCACCUUAGGGACAGUGGCUUGACACUGGUACAGCUUGGCUGUUCUGUGCCAGGCACUGAGCCUAGGUCCCCAAACUUGUGUGCACAUUCGAAUCACCAGGGUACUUGCUGCACAGCCUCACGAGGCCACAGGCUGGCCCCACCCUUGCUAUUCCAGCCCUGGAUGCCUGAGGCGGGCCUGGGAAUCUGCAUUUGCAACAAGGGUCCCAGCUGACUGCUGCAGGUGGGCUGCAGAUGGCCUGGAGCCAUCUGGGUAGAGCCAGAUGGCCUGGGUAGAAUCUUGCUUCUCCUUCCCAGCCAUGCAACCUUGGGUGAGCUAAUGAA